UACAGAGGUCUCAAGCGUUGUUCGGAUUCAUUGGGCGUAAAGGGUGCGUAGGCGGCGCGGUAAGUCGGGUGUGAAAUCUCGGGGCUUAACUCCGAAACUGCAUUCGAUACUGCCGUGCUUGAGGACUGGAGAGGAGACUGGAAUUUACGGUGUAGCGGUGAAAUGCGUAGAUAUCGUAAGGAAGACCAGUGGCGAAGGCGGGUCUCUGGACGGUUCCUGACGCUGAGGCACGAAGGCCAGGGGAGCAAACGGG
rnacentral:rRNA from 1 species